rnacentral:lncRNA from 12 species
CUCAGUAGCUUAGAUUCUUUUCAAGAGAAAACCCAGACGUUGGGUCCCGUUGCUGCAGGAACUGAUUUGUAGAAGUAUUUGGAGACGGUACAAAGAGACAAAGGCAAUACAAAAUACAACUCUCCCUCUAUGUUUCUAUAUUUCUUUUUCAUUCCCCUUGGAAUUGCAUUUGCAGAAUUUCUUGGCUGGUUGCCAGUCCUAUCCUCAGACGCUUUAAAGUGCUCUUGACAAUGCUGUUCAUUCAUUAUAUGAAUACAAAAACAGGGAGCAAAAGCUGGAAACUUAGCUCACUGAUAACUGCUUCUUUAUUUUCCUGAAUGUUUCUUUGCGAGCAUAGCCAAAUUUAAACCAUCCUGGUUUAAAUUAACCAUUUCUGGAGCAGUGGCUUUCUGGGUGGAUUUAGAAAAUGUCCACUCUGCCAUUUUGACCCCAUCCUUCCAGGAUUGGUCUGCAUGGAACUAAUGAAUCUUCAGAGAAAAUGUAUUUUCUGAAGCUAAAUUUUCCAUUAAGGGUUUGAUGGCUACAUCAGUUUUUGCUGCUGGAGUGGAGUUGCUCACAGUCGCAGCCACAGAAACAUUGGUGAGGAUGCCUUCCAAAAGCAAGAGGCCAAAUUGUAAAAAACAAAGGAAAGGGGUUGUGAUAGGUUGAAUCAUGUUACCCCCCAAAAAGAUAUUUUGAAGUUCCCAAUACCAUUGAAUGUGACCUUAUUUGGAAAUACCGUCAUUGCUGACAUAAUUAGUAAAAGUAAAAUCAGAUCAUAUUAUGGUAGAGUGGGCUCCUAAUUCUGUAAAAUGGAUAUCUUUAUGAGGAGAUGAUCCUAUAAGGCUAAAACACAGAGAAGUGCCAUGAAUGAUGUUUGAAUGACGUCAUGAAUGAAGUCUGAAUAUUGGGGUGUUAUAUCUAAAAACCAAGGAACAUCAG